CCUACGGGAGGCUGCAGUAGGGAAUAUUGCUCAAUGGGGGAAACCCUGAAGCAGCAACGCCGCGUGGAGGAUGAAGGUUUUCGGAUUGUAAACUCCUUUUGUUAGAGAAGAUAAUGACGGUAUCUAACGAAUAAGCACCGGCUAACUCCGUGCCAGCAGCCGCGGUAAUACGGAGGGUGCAAGCGUUACUCGGAAUCACUGGGCGGAAAGAGCGCGGAGGCGGGAUAGCAAGUCAGAUGUGAAAUCCUAUGGCUUAACCAUAGAACUGCAUUUGAAACUGUUAUUCUAGAGUAUGGGAGGGGUAGGUGGAAUUCUUGGUGUAGGGGUAAAAUCCGUAGAGAUCAAGAGGAAUACUCAUUGCGAAGGCGACCUGCUAGAACAUAACUGACGCUGAUGCGCGAAAGCGUGGGGAGCAAACAGGAUUAGAUACCCCAGUAGUC
rnacentral:rRNA from 1 species